rnacentral:rRNA from 1 species
UGAUGUGGUUUAAUUCGAUGCAACGCGAAAACCUUACCCACCUUUGACAUGGCAGGAAUCCCGAAGAGUAUUUGGGAGUGCUCGAAAGAGAACCUGCACACAGGUGCUGCAUUGGCUGUCGUCAGCUCGUGUCGUGAGAUGUUGGGUUAAGUCCCGCAACGAGCGCAACCCUUGCCAUUAGUUGCUACGAAAGGGCACUCUAAUGGGACUGCCGGUGACAAACCGGAGGAAGGUGGGGAUGACGUCAAGUCCUCAUGGCCCUUAUAGGUGGGGCUACACACGUCAUACAAUGGCCGGUACAGAGGGUAGCCAACCCGCGAGGGGGGAGCCAAUCCCACAAAGCCGGUCGUAGUCCGGAUCGCAGUCUGCAACUCGACUGCGUGAAGUCGGAAUCGCUAGUAAUCGCGGAUCAGCAUGUCGCGGUGAAUACGUUCCCGGGCCUU